rnacentral:rRNA from 1 species
CGCCUCUUGAUUAAACAUGAGAGGUCCAGCCUGCCCGGUGACAUAGUUUAACGGCCGCGGUACCCUAACCGUGCGAAGGUAGCAUAAUCACUUGUUCUUUAAAUAGGGACUCGUAUCAACGGCAUCACGAGGGCUAUACUGUCUCCUUUCUCCAAUCAAUGAAACUGAUCUCCCCGUGAAGAAGCGGGGAUUGACCUAUAAGACGAGAAGACCCCAUGGAGCUUCAAACUCAACAUACACCUCUACGCACCUAAAUCACUUUAGCCCAAGAGAUCUGUCUGUUAGUUUUGGGUUGGGGGGACCGCGGAGUAAAAAUUAACCUCCACGACAAACGGGCCUAACGCCCUUAUCCACGAACUACAACUCUAAGAAUCAAUAAACUGAUGUUUAUGACCCGAUUAUUCGAUCAACGAACCAAGUUACCCUGGGGAUAACAGCGCAAUCUACUUCAAGAGCCCCUAUCGACAAGUAGGUUUACGACCUCGAUGUUGGAUCAGGGUAUCCUAGUGGUGCAGCCGCUACUAAAGGUUCGUUUGUUCAACGAUUAAAACCCU